AGAGAAAAACUGGAUCGAGAACCCACAACCUAUCGGUUGUCACAGGCUGCACAUGCGGAGGGUCUGUAGCUCAGUCGGUUAGAGCAUCGUCUUGAUAAGGCGAGGGUCGUUGGUUCGAUUCCAACCAGACCCACCAGCGUAUCGACAAAAGCUGCGGUAAGCGAAGUCGAGGACGUUGCUAACUAGCGGGGGGAUUAGCUCAGCUGGGAGAGCACCUGCUUUGCAAGCAGGGGGUCGUCGGUUCGAUCCCGUCAUCCUCCACCAAACCAACCGCCGCGCGUGAGAUGUCAGGCCUGCAGGGUCCGUACCCUGCAGGCCUGACCCCUUACGGGGCCUGUGCUCUUUAACAAAAUGGAAGAAGGUUGUAUUGCCGAUGGCCCGGAGGAUUGGGGAUUGGCAAUACGGUUGUGAUUGCAUCGAACCCCCGCAAGGGGGAGCACAAAUGAGUUGCCUGUAGCUGGAGGUCUCGCAAGGGAGCUCAAGGUUAUAG
rnacentral:tRNA from 1 species